UCGAGGGGCAGCAUGGUCUUAGCUUGCUAAGGCCGAUGGCGACCGGCGCACGGGUGAGUAACACGUAUCCAACCUGCCGUCUACUCUUGGACAGCCUUCUGAAAGGAAGAUUAAUACAAGAUGGCAUCAUGAGUCCGCAUGUUCACAUGAUUAAAGGUAUUCCGGUAGACGAUGGGGAUGCGUUCCAUUAGAUAGUAGGCGGGGUAACGGCCCACCUAGUCUUCGAUGGAUAGGGGUUCUGAGAGGAAGGUCCCCCACAUUGGAACUGAGACACGGUCCAAACUCCUACGGGAGGCAGCAGUGAGGAAUAUUGGUCAAUGGGCGAGAGCCUGAACCAGCCAAGUAGCGUGAAGGAUGACUGCCCUAUGGGUUGUAAACUUCUUUUAUAAAGGAAUAAAGUUGGGUAUGGAUACCCGUUUGCAUGUACUUUAUGAAUAAGGAUCGGCUAACUCCGUGCCAGCAGCCGCGGUAAUACGGAGGAUCCGAGCGUUAUCCGGAUUUAUUGGGUUUAAAGGGAGCGUAGAUGGAUGUUUAAGUCAGUUGUGAAAGUUUGCGGCUCAACCGUAAAAUUGCAGUUGAUACUGGAUAUCUUGAGUGCAGUU
rnacentral:rRNA from 1 species